AAUCCAUAGGUUAAUGAGGCGAACCGGGGGAACUGAAACAUCUAAGUACCCCGAGGAAAAGAAAUCAACCGAGAUUCCCCCAGUAGCGGCGAGCGAACGGGGAGGAGCCCAGAGCCUGAAUCAGCAUGUGUGUUAGUGGAAGCGUCUGGAAAGGCGCGCGAUACAGGGUGACAGCCCCGUACACAAAAGCGCAUGUGCUGUGAGCUCGAUGAGUAGGGCGGGACACGUGGUAUCCUGUCUGAAUAUGGGGGGACCAUCCUCCAAGGCUAAAUACUCCUGACUGACCGAUAGUGAACCAGUACCGUGAGGGAAAGGCGAAAAGAACCCCGGCGAGGGGAGUGAAAAAGAACCUGAAACCGUGUACGUACAAGCAGUGGGAGCACCCUUUGGGUGUGACUGCGUACCUUUUGUAUAAUGGGUCAGCGACUUAUAUUCUGUAGCAAGGUUAACCGAAUAGGGGAGCCGGAGGGAAACCGAGUCUUAACCGGGCGUUAAGUUGCAGGGUAUAGACCCGAAACCCGGUGAUCUAGCCAUGGGCAGGUUGAAGGUUGGGUAACACUAACUGGAGGACCGAACCGACUAAUGUUGAAAAAUUAGCGGAUGACCUGUGGCUGGGGGUGAAAGGCCAAUCAAACCGGGAGAUAGCUGGUUCUCCCCGAAAGCUAUUUAGGUAGCGCCUCGUGAAUUCAUCUCCGGGGGUAGAGCACUGUUUCGGCUAGGGGGCCAUCCCGGCUUACCAACCCGAUGCAAACUGCGAAUACCGGAGAAUGUUAUCACGGGAGACACACGGCGGGUGCUAACGUCCGUCGUGAAGAGGGAAACAACCCAGACCGCCAGCUAAGGUCCCAAAGUCAUGGUUAAGUGGGAAACGAUGUGGGAAGGCCCAGACAGCCAGGAUGUUGGCUUAGAAGCAGCCAUCAUUUAAAGAAAGCGUAAUAGCUCACUGGUCGAGUCGGCCUGCGCGGAAGAUGUAACGGGGCUAAACCAUGCACCGAAGCUGCGGCAGCGACACUGUGUGUUGUUGGGUAGGGGAGCGUUCUGUAAG
rnacentral:rRNA from 1 species